AGUUUGAAAUUUACAGUGUCAUCUCACUUGAAAGAAUUCUUCAGUCACACAAUUCUUAUUAUAGAAAAAUGUCUCCCAGUGAGCUUUUGAAAGAGCUUGCAAGUUUGCGAGAACGCAUUGACCACUUGGAACGAGAAAAAAGAACUGACGACAUUUCUGCGACUGGCAAUUCCUCAAAACCGAGGCCACAGAAGUUAUUCCGACGGCGGCACUGAAACGGCUCUUUGGCGACAUGUCACUUGAAAUCAAACCUGCAGAAAGACCAUGGGAAGAUGUUGCUGCAGAACUAAAAAAGACUCUUGUGCAAAUAGUCAGAGCGGGAGGCAAUUGUCGAAAUAUUGAUGACACCACAAUAUUAAGACGUGUGCGUCAGUUUUAUGUCGCACGAAGACAGACUGUAACCGCAGCCAAAAACACAGAGAAGAGACGACGAAGACGGCAACAACUUAAAAUCAGCGCAGCAACUUACACCUACAAACGUCAGAAAGUGGCUGAGGCUAUUAGAAAAAACGAGCUUUCAGCAGAGACCAGAGACGUGUCAUUGUUCAGAUCUUCCAUUCCCAGAUUGACAGAUAAACAAGUUUUGCCUGCACCAAAUAGCAGCGAUGAAGAUGCUAAACUGAAGAAAAAAAAGUUGCAAGUUAAACACCUGAAACGAAUGAGAGAGUUGGCAGGAGUAAAGAGGCGAGUUCAAGACAAGGUGUGCCCGGACUGGAGACAGAAAGCAGUUGAAGAAGGCUUCUUAAUUAGUGAUUCAGGAGAAGAGUCGAGUGAUGCAGGGGCCAACUGCAAGUGCAUUGCUUAUUUCAAUUUCUGGGAUCGAAAUAUUCUAACAUAAUCGUUGUUUGAAAUUGUAGUGAAUUAGCUGACAAAGACAAUCAAAUAUAUGUGCACACUAUAUUAUGAUGGCAACUUUUAAUUUGAGCAGCUAGCAUUUUGUUUGUUGAUUAAUAUUAUUGAUAUUAAUAUCACUUAUAAUGAUGAUAUUUAUAAUUACUAUUUUAUUCCUGGGGAAAGCCUUGAGUACACAUCUUAUUUAUAUUAACAAAUUAAACGGCAUACUGGUAAUUUGUUGUCAUCAAGUCUUUGUUUCCUUACUACAUUUCCAGAAGGAUCACUCUGCUGUUAUUUGCAACUAUAUAGUAUCUGUAUAUUUCUGAUGGCAACUUUGCGAUUGUAAUUUGUUAUUAUUCCAGAUGAUGAGGUCGAUGAUAUGUUCGAAGAUCUAUUGCCUCUUGCAGCCAGCUUUGACGCUUUUCCAUCUACACAGAAUCAAGGUUUGACAGAAUUGACGACUGAACAUGUAAGGAGCAAAAAAAGGAAAACCUUGUCAUUGAAAGAAUCCAGCUGCAGGGGAAGAGACCAGCGCAUAAAGGUUCUGCAAGAAUUGACAUGUAAUGACUUUGUUGAGGACACAUGCACAGAAAAUUACUCUCACUUAGAAGAGCCAAGCCAAAGCAUUUUGCAGAGGAGAGUAAUAUUAGAGACACAUGAUAAUGACACUUACGAGUAUUAGAUAAUAUUUUAGUUAUAACUAAUUAAUAAUUAAUUAGUAGUUAUAACUAAUUAAUAAUUAAUUAUAACUAAUUAUUAAUUAAUUAAUAGCUGUUUUAUUUGUAAUAGCUGCACUACGUAUAGUAAAAAACCACGUUACCAUUGUGUUUUAGCCAGCCUAUGUUCAUUCACUGUGCUUACAGGACCGCGUUCAAUCUACUUAUCAAUCAGAUAUGUGAUUAUAGGACUGCGUCUGACCUUCUCUUGAAUCAUAUAGGGUGUGAUUAUAAGACUGCCUCUGACCUUCUCCUGAAUCAUAUAGGGUGUGAUUAUAGGAUCUGUUUCAUGCAUACCUCAUGGGUGUGAUUUCUAAGAU